CUUCCUAGUCCAAUACUACAUGGUGAACAGGCCACAAGAAUCUACUGCCAUCUACUGGUGUAGAAUACAAUUUAACUAAAUCGACACAAUGUCGCCAAACAGGUCGAACAACAGAUGAGUGGAUCAAGCUGUGCUGUCUUAUUAAAGUAACGAACGUCAUUGUGAUUAAGCCUUUGUUUCAAAUUAAAUGUAUGGGUGUUGGCAACUUGUGCAGAAUGUUCCAC